GACGAACGCUGGCGGCGUGCUUAACACAUGCAAGUCGAACGGAAAGGCCCUGCUUUUGUGGGGUGCUCGAGUGGCGAACGGGUGAGUAACACGUGAGUAACCUGCCCUUGACUUUGGGAUAACUUCAGGAAACUGGGGCUAAUACCGGAUAGGAGCUCCUGCUGCAUGGUGGGGGUUGGAAAGUUUCGGCGGUUGGGGAUGGACUCGCGGCUUAUCAGCUUGUUGGUGGGGUAGUGGCUUACCAAGGCUUUGACGGGUAGCCGGCCUGAGAGGGUGACCGGCCACAUUGGGACUGAGAGACGGCCCAGACGCCUACGGGAGGCAGCAGUGGGGAGUAUUGCACAAUGGGCGGAAGCCUGAUGCAGCAACGCCGCGUGCGGGAUGACGGCCUUCGGGUUGUAAACCGCUUUCGCCUGUGACGAAGCGUGAGUGACGGUAAUGGGUAAAGAAGCACCGGCUAACUACGUG
rnacentral:rRNA from 1 species